AUCGGAACGUGCCCAAUCGUGGGGGAUAACGCAGCGAAAGCUGUGCUAAUACCGCAUACGAUCUACGGAUGAAAGCAGGGGAUCGCAAGACCUUGCGCGAAUGGAGCGGCCGAUGGCAGAUUAGGUAGUUGGUGAGGUAAAGGCUCACCAAGCCUUCGAUCUGUAGCUGGUCUGAGAGGACGACCAGCCACACUGGGACUGAGACACGGCCCAGACUCCUACGGGAGGCAGCAGUGGGGAAUUUUGGACAAUGGGCGCAAGCCUGAUCCAGCCAUGCCGCGUGCAGGAUGAAGGCCUUCGGGUUGUAAACUGCUUUUGUACGGAACGAAACGGCCUUUUCUAAUAAAGAGGGCUAAUGACGGUACCGUAAGAAUAAGCACCGGCUAACUACGUGCCAGCAGCCGCGGUAAUACGUAGGGUGCAAGCGUUAAUCGGAAUUACUGGGCGUAAAGCGUGCGCAGGCGGUAAUGUAAGACAGUUGUGAAAUCCCCGGGCUCAACCUGGGAACUGCAUCUGUGACUGCAUUGCUGGAGUACGGCAGAGGGGGAUGGAAUUCCGCGUGUAGCAGUGAAAUGCGUAGAUAUGCGGAGGAACACCGAUGGCGAAGGCAAUNCCCCUGGGCCUGUACUGACGCUCAUGC
rnacentral:rRNA from 1 species